AUGAAGGCACAGGCAGUGCUAUCUGUCAUUCUCACCCUUGCACCACCUCUAAGUGGAUUUCACAUUAUAUUGCUUUUGUCUUCCUCAAAUCUUGAUAAUAUUGAGGAGAAGCAGAUUGCCAUUGGAGGACUUGGUGAAGAUGUAAUUCUCCCUUGCUUAUUUAAGAGUGCGCCUGAAGUAGUAGUUCAUUGGAAGAAUCAAGAGAGCUAUGUGCACUCAUACUACAAAGACCAUGACUGGAAAGGCAAGAUCACAGAUACACAAACAGGACAUCCCUCUUACAUAGUGAAAUGGAAAUGCCUCCUUAUCAUUUAGAAGAUUAAGCCUUCCGGAUGAAGGAAUUUACAUAUGCUAUGUGGGAACAGCAUCUAGAAACCUCAUAAACAAAGCGGUACUAAAGGUGGGAGGUAAGUAUGCAUGGAAGGUUUGAUAAAACAUAGAAAUAAUAUCAUUCCAUGUUUUUCUAAAAUAUCUCUUUCUUAAUUGAAUAUGGACUACCUUGCAAGUCAAUACAAAUCUACCUCAUGUUUUAAAUGCAUGGUAUCUCAUAGUAUAGACAUGUUAUAACUGAUACAUCCAUUCCUCUACUGGUAGAUAUUCCAGUGUUUUACAUGACAGGUGUUGUGAUGAGCAUUCUUGUAUUUAAUAG
rnacentral:lncRNA from 1 species